rnacentral:rRNA from 1 species
UAAGGAAUAUUGCUCAAUGGGAGAAAUCCUGAAGCAGCAACGCCGCGUGGAGGAUGAAGGGUCUAUGACUUGUAAACUCCUGUAAAGAAGGAAAAAAUUCCCAUUAGAUGGGAGAUGAUGGUACUUCUGGAGUAAGCCCCGGCUAACUACGUGCCAGCAGCCGCGGUAAUACGUAGGGGGCAAGCGUUGUCCGGAUUUACUGGGUGUAAAGGGUGCUCAGGCGGAUUUGUAAGUCAGAGGUGAAAUCUUACAGCUUAACUGUGAAACUGCCUUUGAUACUGCAAGCCUAGAGUAUGGAAGAGAGUGAUGGAAUAUCUGGUGUAGCAGUGAAAUGCGUAGAUAUCAGAUAGAACACCAAUGGCGAAGGCAGUCACUUAGUCCAUUACUGACGCUAAAGCACGAAAGCGUGGGUAGCAAAC